GAACUUCCAAGCUGGAAGGCUUCCAGAAAAGGAUAAGCCAAUGUAGUGUCAAAGACACACCAUGUUUGUGAACUGGAAAUUUUCCUUUAGCGUUUUUAGAGGUAUUCUGUUCAAGCAUGCUGGACCUCAAGAUCUGGAAGAUCAGUCUUCAGUCAGAUUGGAGAAAGGAUGGCUCUGUGUAUGUUCAAGGCAGGAAAAAGGACAUGCUUCAUCUGCAAGGCACUCAGAAAAUCAUAUGGACCAUUCUCACCAAAGAGCUAUGUUCUGUAAGGAGCCUUAAAGUGAUGCUAAUUUAGUCUAAAUAAGAAUUUGAUGUAGAAUCAUAGAAAUGCAGGUAGAUCAAUGUGCUGCUGGUGGAGUGGAUCUCCUUCAGAUAACUGGAAGACCGACUACCAUCUACUCACGCUAUAGUUUCCUUUCCUGUGACUGACCGGAUUUUGUGAUUCUGGAAAAGACGACUCUUCUCAUACAGCUGCUCGUCCCAAAAGACCGGGCCCCUUGACAUGAUCCUAGGAGUUUGAAAAAUUCCCAUUUGUAGAACUUUCCUCUAUUUGUUUCUGACAAAUGCGGACUGAGGUCUACAUGCAGCCUUGCAAUUUUACAAAUACAAGUAUACUUGUAUAAUUUUACUGGUUAGGUUCAUAGCAGGUUUUCUUAGCAAUGGAAAACCCAAACUUAUACAAAGGUCUAAAGAAUACAGCUAUUAAUGUAGUGAAAGUUUAACAAAGCUGAAUAAAGUUUGCCUAUUUAUUCUCAUUUGACAAUGUUUUAUCUACUUCUCAUUGGCAGAUCUGGCAAUUAGGCACGGAAUUUAGGCACUUUCUAAUUUGUCAUUGAGGUGAAUGAUAUACACUUUUUCAUUUAUCCGCAUAGCAGUGAAAUAAAAAAGUCGCAAAUGG